UGAAUACGAGACGCUAAGGCGUCGAAGUAGUGUAUGUCAUACUUCCAAGAAAAGCUUGCACUGUCAUAGAUAAAAAACGCCUGUACCAUAACCGACACAGGUGGGUAGGUAGAGUAUACUAAGGGGCGCGAGAUAACUCUCUCUAAGGAACUCGGCAAAAUAACUCCGUAACUUCGGGAGAAGGAGUGCCUUAUUCGUAAGGUUGCAAUAACAAGAUCCAAGCAACUGUUUAUCAAAAACACAGGUCUCCGCUAAGUCGUAAGACGAUGUAUGGGGGCUGACGCCUGCCCAGUGCCAGAAGGUUAAAGAAGUUGGUUAGCAAUUGCGAAGCUGAUAACUGAAGCCCUGGUGAACGGCGGCCGUAACAAUAACGGUCCUAAGGUAGCGAAAUUCCUUGUCGGGUAAGUUCCGACCCGCACGAAAGGCGUAAUGAUUUGGAUACUGUCUCGGAGAGGGGCUCGGUGAAAUAGACUUGUCUGUGAAGAUGCGGACUACCUGCACCAGGACAGAAAGACCCUAUGAAGCUUUACUGUAACUUGAAAUUGAAAUUGGGCUUUAUUCGCGCAGUAUAGGUGGGAGGCGUUGAUUAUAAUCUUGUGGGAUUAUUGGAGCCAUCAGUGAGAUACCACUCUUGUAAUGUUAGAUUUCUAACUUUGAAUCAUUAUCUGGUCAAAGAACAGUUUCAGGCGGGCAGUUUGACUGGGGCGGUCGCCUCCUAAACGGUAACGGAGGCGUACAAAGGUUUCCUCUGAACGGUUAGAAAUCGUAUCUAGAGUGUAAAGGCAUAAGGAAGCUUGACUGUGAGACCUACAAGUCGAGCAGGGACGAAAGUCGGUCUUAGUGAUCUGACGGUACUGUGUGGAAAGGCCGUCACUCAACGGAUAGAAGUUACUCUAGGAUAACAGGCUGAUCUCCCCCAAGAGUUCACAUCGACGGGGAGGUUUGGCACCUCGAUGUCGGCUCAUCGCAUCCUGGGGCGGUAGUACGUCCCAAGGGUUGGGCUGUUCGCCCAUGAAAGCGGUACGCGAGCUGGGUUCAGAACGUCGUGAGACAGUUCGGUCCAUAUCCGGUGUAGGCGUUAGAAUAUUGAGAGGAGCCUUCUUUAGUACGAGAGGACCGAGAAGGACAUACCUCUGGUGUACCAGUUAUCGUGCCAACGGUAAACGCUGGGUAGCUAUGUAUGGAGUGGAUAACCGCUGAAAGCAUCUAAGUGGGAAGCCCACCUCAAGAUAAGUAUUCUCA
rnacentral:rRNA from 1 species